rnacentral:pre_miRNA from 1 species
AUGCAUGUCCCAAUUAGGCAGUGCAGUGUUAGCUGGCUGUACAGAAUUCAGCAGCAAUACAGCACUCCCACAUUGGGAUGUGCACA